UCAUUAACUGAAUCCAUAGGUUAAUGAGGCGAACCGGGGGAACUGAAACAUCUAAGUACCCCGAGGAAAAGAAAUCAACCGAGAUUCCCCCAGUAGCGGCGAGCGAACGGGGAGCAGCCCAGAGCCUGAAUCAGUGUGUGUGUUAGUGGAAGCGUCUGGAAAGGCGCGCGAUACAGGGUGACAGCCCCGUACACAAAAAUGCACAUGCUGUGAGCUCGAUGAGUAGGGCGGGACACGUGGUAUCCUGUCUGAAUAUGGGGGGACCAUCCUCCAAGGCUAAAUACUCCUGACUGACCGAUAGUGAACCAGUACCGUGAGGGAAAGGCGAAAAGAACCCCGGCGAGGGGAGUGAAAAAGAACCUGAAACCGUGUACGUACAAGCAGUGGGAGCACGCUUAGGCGUGUGACUGCGUACCUUUUGUAUAAUGGGUCAGCGACUUAUAUUCUGUAGCAAGGUUAACCGAAUAGGGGAGCCGAAGGGAAACCGAGUCUUAACUGGGCGUUAAGUUGCAGGGUAUAGACCCGAAACCCGGUGAUCUAGCCAUGGGCAGGUUGAAGGUUGGGUAACACUAACUGGAGGACCGAACCGACUAAUGUUGAAAAAUUAGCGGAUGACUUGUGGCUGGGGGUGAAAGGCCAAUCAAACCGGGAGAUAGCUGGUUCUCCCCGAAAGCUAUUUAGGUAGCGCCUCGUGAAUUCAUCUCCGGGGGUAGAGCACUGUUUCGGCAAGGGGGUCAUCCCGACUUACCAACCCGAUGCAAACUGCGAAUACCGGAGAAUGUUAUCACGGGAGACACACGGCGGGUGCUAACGUCCGUCGUGAAGAGGGAAACAACCCAGACCGCCAGCUAAGGUCCCAAAGUCAUGGUUAAGUGGGAAACGAUGUGGGAAGGCCCAGACAGCCAGGAUGUUGGCUUAGAAGCAGCCAUCAUUUAAAGAAAGCGUAAUAGCUCACUGGUCGAGUCGGCCUGCGCGGAAGAUGUAACGGGGCUAAACCAUGCACCGAAGCUGCGGCAGCGACGCUUAUGCGUUGUUGGGUAGGGGAGCGUUCUGUAAGCCUGUGAAGGUGUGCUGUGAGGCAUGCUGGAGGUAUCAGAAGUGCGAAUGCUGACAUAAGUAACGAUAAAGCGGGUGAAAAGCCCGCUCGCCGGAAGACCAAGGGUUCCUGUCCAACGUUAAUCGGGGCAGGGUGAGUCGACCCCUAAGGCGAGGCCGAAAGGCGUAGUCGAUGGGAAACAGGUUAAUAUUCCUGUACUUGGUGUUACUGCGAAGGGGGGACGGAGAAGGCUAUGUUGGCCGGGCGACGGUUGUCCCGGUUUAAGCGUGUAGGCUGGUUUUCCAGGCAAAUCCGGAAAAUCAAGGCUGAGGCGUGAUGACGAGGCACUACGGUGCUGAAGCAACAAAUGCCCUGCUUCCAGGAAAAGCCUCUAAGCAUCAGGUAACAUCAAAUCGUACCCCAAACCGACACAGGUGGUCAGGUAGAGAAUACCAAGGCGCUUGAGAGAACUCGGGUGAAGGAACUAGGCAAAAUGGUGCCGUAACUUCGGGAGAAGGCACGCUGAUAUGUAGGUGAAGUCCCUCGCGGAUGGAGCUGAAAUCAGUCGAAGAUACCAGCUGGCUGCAACUGUUUAUUAAAAACACAGCACUGUGCAAACACGAAAGUGGACGUAUACGGUGUGACGCCUGCCCGGUGCCGGAAGGUUAAUUGAUGGGGUCAGCGCAAGCGAAGCUCUUGAUCGAAGCCCCGGUAAACGGCGGCCGUAACUAUAACGGUCCUAAGGUAGCGAAAUUCCUUGUCGGGUAAGUUCCGACCUGCACGAAUGGCGUAAUGAUGGCCAGGCUGUCUCCACCCGAGACUCAGUGAAAUUGAACUCGCUGUGAAGAUGCAGUGUACCCGCGGCAAGACGGAAAGACCCCGUGAACCUUUACUAUAGCUUGACACUGAACAUUGAGCCUUGAUG
rnacentral:rRNA from 1 species